rnacentral:rRNA from 1 species
CAGUCGCCGCGGUAAAACGAAGGGUGCAAGCGUUAAUCGGAAUUACUGGGCGUAAAGCGUGCGUAGGCGGUUUGUUAAGUCUGCUGUGAAAUCCCCGGGCUCAACCUGGGAAUGGCAGUGGAUACCGGCAAGCUAGAGUGUGUCAGAGGAUGGUGGAAUUCCCGGUGUAGCGGUGAAAUGCGUAGAGAUCGGGAGGAACAUCAGUGGCGAAGGCGGCCAUCUGGGACAACACUGACGCUGAGGCACGAAAGCGUGGGGAGCAAACAGGAUUAGAUACCCGCGUAGUCCCUGUCUCUUAUAC